rnacentral:rRNA from 1 species
GACGAACGCUGGCGGCGUGCCUAAUACAUGCAAGUCGAACGCUUCUUUCCUCCCGAGUGCUUGCACUCAAUUGGAAAGAGGAGUGGCGGACGGGUGAGUAACACGUGGGUAACCUACCCAUCAGAGGGGGAUAACACUUGGAAACAGGUGCUAAUACCGCAUAACAGUUUAUGCCGCAUGGCAUAAGAGUGAAAGGCGCUUUCGGGUGUCGCUGAUGGAUGGACCCGCGGUGCAUUAGCUAGUUGGUGAGGUAACGGCUCACCAAGGCCACGAUGCAGAGCCGACCUGAGAGGGUGAUCGGCCACACUGGGACUGAGACACGGCCCAGACUCCUACGGGAGGCAGCAGUAGGGAAUCUUCGGCAAUGGACGAAAGUCUGACCGUGCAACGCCGCGUGAGUGAAGAAGGUUUUCGGAUCGUAAAACUCUGUUGUUAGAGAAGAACAAGGACGUUAGUAACUGAACGUCCCCUGACGGUAUCUAACCAGAAAGCCACGGCUAACUACGUG